ACGGUCUUCCUUGCAGUCGUCCGUCGAGCUACUGCUGACUGGGACCAAAUCUGCGCCACUUUCGUUUGCUGACCGGGAUGCAUUAUGGUUCUGGUUGCUUCGAGAGUGCGUCUCGAUCACGUUGAGAGCCACCGUCUGCGACACUUGCCGGGAGAAAUGAGCCGCAUCUGUUGGGGGAUCAAAACGAGAUCAGAGGUUGAGGAAAACCAUCGGGGUUGCGGAACCCACCGCCAGCUCCAACGGCCGCGGCAGCCGCCUCCGUGCUGCUGAUGAUGCAGAACUCGUCGUCACCCAUGUCCCAGGCAUCGCUCACCGACUUCUGGUACUCGGUGAAGGUGGACACCAUGCCAGAUCCGGGGGCAGCGCCGCGACCGACCGCUACCCCAACUGCCGCCGCCUUCUCGAGCUCCCGCUUGGGACUGGGUCGUCCGGGCACUCGACGUCCGCUGUUUUUCCAAAAGGUCGAGGAGUUUGCGCCGGGCGUUGGUCCGGCUCCACUUGCCACGGUUACUACUGCUACACCUGCUCCUGCUGUUCCUGUUGCUGCUGCUGUGGACUCGGCUGUUUCAGUUUGGCUCUUUCCUGCUAAUUGCUCUACAUUGUUAUCCAUCAUACGUUCCCUAGAGCCGAUUCUAUGUCAGCGUCAUUAUAUUAUUUUGCAUCAAAAACAGUGUGACCAUGGCAACUAUUUACGGCUUUCACCGCACGACACUUCUUGGUAGUGAUGAGAGCGUAUCGUGAUCAAGUGACUGGUGCGAAACCGAACCAUAUUGAUACCCAUUACUUGUGGAGAAGAGUGAACCUAGUAUAGUUCCGACGAGUCGAUCAAGAGAUAUAAAUGAUUAAAAAUGAAAACUCGUAAUUCAAGACAUUUUUCUAUGC
ensembl:ncRNA asRNA:CR46045 antisense RNA:CR46045